CCUUGUACACACCGCCCGUCACACCAUGGGAGUCGACUGCUCCAGAAGUGCCCGCGCCAACCCGCAAGGGAGGCAGGUCCCCAAGGAGGGGUCGGUAACUGGGGUG
rnacentral:rRNA from 1 species